rnacentral:rRNA from 1 species
AGUGAACGCUGGCGGUAGGCCUAACACAUGCAAGUCGAACGGCAGCACAGUAAGAGCUUGCUCUUACGGGUGGCGAGUGGCGGACGGGUGAGGAAUACAUCGGAAUCUACUUUUUCGUGGGGGAUAACGUAGGGAAACUUACGCUAAUACCGCAUACGACCUACGGGUGAAAGCAGGGGAUCUUCGGACCUUGCGCGAUUGAAUGAGCCGAUGUCGGAUUAGCUAGUUGGCGGGGUAAAGGCCCACCAAGGCGACGAUCCGUAGCUGGUCUGAGAGGAUGCUCAGCCACACUGGAACUGAGACACGGUCCAGACUCCUACGGGAGGCAGCAGUGGGGAAUAUUGGACAAUGGGCGCAAGCCUGAUCCAGCCAUACCGCGUGGGUGAAGAAGGCCUUCGGGUUGUAAAGCCCCUUUGUUGGGAAAGAAAAGCAGCAGGUUAAUACCCCGCUGUUCUGACGGUACCCAAAGAAUAAGCACCGGCUAACUUCGUG